CCAAGGCUUGGUCCUGACUUUACUAUAAGCUUUAGCCCAAUUUAUACAUGCAAGUCUCCGCAUCCCUGUGAGAAUGCCCUCAACCCCCCGCCCGGGGGCGAGGAGCCGGCAUCAGGCACACCCCCUCCACAGCCCAAGACGCCUUGCUCAGCCACACCCCCAAGGGAAUUCAGCAGUAAUAAACAUUAAGCCAUAAGUGAAAACUUGACUUAGUUAGGGUUAAAAGGGUCGGUAAAAUCCGUGCCAGCCACCGCGGUUAUACGAAAGACCCUAGUUUAUAAAUACGGCGUAAAGGGUGGUUAAGGAUAAAACAAAAUAAGGCCAAAGACCCCCUAAGCCGUCAUACGCUCUACGGAGGCACGAAGCCCAAACACGAAAGUAGCUUUAAUAAACUUUACCUGACCCCACGAAAGCUGGAAAACAAACUGGGAUUAGAUACCCCACUAUGUCCAGCCCUAAACCUAGAUGAAAAACUACAAAACCAUCCGCCAGGGAACUACGAGCAUAGCUUAAAACCCAAAGGACUUGGCGGUGCCUCAGAUCCACCUAGAGGAGCCUGUUCUAGAACCGAUAACCCCCGUUAAACCUCACCACUUCUUGCUUUUCCCGCCUAUAUACCGCCGUCGUCAGCUUACCCUGUGAAGGCCCAACAGUAAGCAAAAUGAGUCCAACCCAAAACGUCAGGUCGAGGUGUAGCGCACGAAGUGGGAAGAAAUGGGCUACAUUUUCUACCACAGAAUAUUACGGAUAGUGCCCUGAAAACAGCACCUGAAGGAGGAUUUAGCAGUAAAAAGCAAAUAGAGAGUACUUUUGAAUUAGGCUCUGAGGCGCGCACACACCGCCCGUCACUCUCCCCUUCCUACUAUUAUCAACUAAAUAUACUUAAUCACACAUACAAAACCACGGGGAGGCAAGUCGUAACAUGGUAAGUGUACCGGAAGGUGCACUUGGAACAAC
rnacentral:ncRNA from 1 species